UCUGAGGGGUUAAGGGCAUAGAGUUCCUCCCGUUGGGUUCUCAGAACAUGAGGAUUUUCAAUACUCUUAUAAGGGCUCAAGUUCCAAUGGGUAGCUGGGCAAGGGAUAGAGGCGGCAGCCAGCAGUGACCCUGAAAGCCAACAAGAGGCAAGGCAGGCCCUGGCAGAGGACCCCAGAAUCAUCUUUCCUGGCACUGCACCAUGAGGAGCAUGCUCAUAAGGAGUUUGACUCAAGUCUAUGAACAGCUUCCGCCUUUUACUUUUUGCAUAGAAGACUGCCCAGGGAGAGAAAAACAAACAAAAUAAACAAAAAUAAAAAUCA